CCUUCACCCAACACUGGCCACAACAAGGAGCGUACGCCUUUUCCCCCAUUCGCCAUGAUCGCGAGAGUUCUCCACCAUUUGCGCAGACGAAUGGUGCGACUAACCCUACUGACGCCCCUCUGGCCGAGUCAACCCUGGUUCCCGGACCUUCUCGAAUUGUCCUAUCAGGACCCGAUUCUCCUGCCGAACGACGACAUGCUACUCAGAGACGGACGCCUAUCCUUGGUAGCCUGGACUCUUUCAGGGGAACUUGGUGUAGCAACAAACUAUCGUCAACAGCUAAGGAUCUCCUAUGGGACUCCUGGGCUCCGGGAACGCGAAGGAGCUACCUAUCCGCAUGGCGAGCUUGGACCAGUUGGUGCAUGGGACUGGAUCUGGAUCCCUUUACAGCCCCUGUUUCGGACAUCAUGAAUUUCCUCUCGUCUCUCUUCGAGGAAGGCAAGUCAUACCGCACUAUCAACGUCAUGAGAUCGGCUAUCUCGGCAGCACAUGUACAGUCCCAAGGAAGGGCGGUCGGACAGGACCCACUGAUAUGCCGUCUAUUACGAGGCCUCCAACACCUAAAUACCAGCACUUAUGGGAUGUGGAUAUCGUCCUUCGUUUCCUGAGGAACUGGCCUACCAACGAACUUCUCUCUUUAAAACAACUGACGGCAAAAUUCACCUUCCUGUUGUGCAUGGUUUCUUUCCGGAGAGUGGCAGACGUCCGGACGUUCGACAAGAACGCCUUUUCCAUUGAUCCUGAGUGAGUCACAUUUCAUAUCUCACAACGCACUAAAUCCAAUUCAACAUCAGUGUUCUACCCAUUCUUCAGUUCGGAUCCCCAACUGUGCGUGGUUAAGGCUCUACGAGCAUACGUGACAGCAACAAAGGACUUACGCCCACUGACUGCACGACAACUAUUGGUGUCAUAUGUCAGCCCACACGGUCCGGUUUCGGUCACCACAUUGGCCAGAUGGAUCAAAUGGCUUCUAUCUUUAGCUGGAAUAGACUCUUCCUUUGGUGCACAUUCCGUUCGAGGGGCAGCGGCAUCAUCAGCAUUUCUAGCAGGCGCAUCUGUCAGAUAUUCUCCAAACUGCAGAUUGGUCCCGAGAAUCGACUUUUCGGACCUUCUACUUCCGCUCAUCGUCCAAUGCCGCAUUCACUCUUCUACCAAAGCGUUAAAAUUGCAAAAUAGGAAGCCUCCUGUCAUGUUAUAAAAUUGAAGAUUAUGCU